rnacentral:tRNA from 1 species
GAUCCUGUAGCUCAUGUGGAUGAGUGUCGCCUCUGGCUUGAGAGGUUGCUGGUUCGAGCCCCAGCCAGGAUUC